rnacentral:lncRNA from 1 species
UGCUGCACAUAACAUUAUAGUCUUUACAUACCAGGAUUUGGGGAUUUCCAUCAGGUGUUUCUGAUAUUUGACCCUUGACCUUUACUUUAAUUACAGGGUGGUAAAGGUGACCAAGGACCCCCCGGAGGCCCUGGAGACAAAGGAGACAAGGUGGGUCUGUCUUUUUAUGACCCAAGCUGUGUUUAUUUGAGUCUAAUCUAUGAAUCCACACCAUAUAUCUGAACUGACAGGGUCAUCCAGGACCCCCAGGACAUCCCGGGACCCCUGGCUUGAUGGGCACACCAGUAAGUUUCUUUUCGGUCCUUGACUGGAAAAUGAAUCUUAGUAUUUAUCUUGAUCAGGACAUUUUAGCAAUUGUUUGAACGCUGACACUUUUCUCCUUAGGGUACUGAUGGACAGCCUGGCCCUGUUGGCCCCCCGGGGCCCCCUGGAGAAAAGGGUAAAGAGGGUCUCAAAGGAAUUCAAGGACCUGCAGGCCUACCUGGUUUGAUUGGUCCACCCGGAAAAACUGGAAAAGAUGGCAGAUCAGGUGAACCAGGAGACCAGGGCAAGCAAGGUGAACCCGGGCUGCCAGGAAAUCCCGGGCUUAGGGGACUCCCGGUGAGUAACAGCCAGUAAAGGAGGUGGGAGGUGUGAAUGGCUGCAACUGACUCCUUUCUGCUUCUGUAGGGUUUUAAGGGCCACAGAGGGGAACCAGGAGCUCCAGGAGUUAAGGUCAGUGUGUGAUGUUCCCUUUCAUGAACGGGUCAGUUCAGACCAGCUGCAGCUGUAAAACACUCGAAAUAAAAGGCAUUUUUGCUGAGCGUCAAACUUGAAACUGAGCC